rnacentral:rRNA from 1 species
AGGGAGCCUGAGAAACGGCUACCACAUCCAAGGAAGGCAGCAGGCGCGCAAAUUACCCAAUCCUGACACAGGGAGGUAGUGACAAUAAAUAACGAUAUAGGGCCUUUGGUCUUAUAAUCGGAAUGAGAACAAUUUAAACCACUUAUCGAGGAACAAUUGGAGGGCAAGUCUGGUGCCAGCAGCCGCGGUAAUUCCAGCUCCAAUAGCGUAUGUUAAAGUUGUUGCAGUUAAAAAGCUCGUAGUUGAACCUCGCCGCCGGCUCCGGGUCCCCCGAAAGGGGUGUACUCGGCGCUUGCGGCUUUGCCCUACUAGUGUGUGCGUUCGCGUGCACUCAUAGGGGGCGUUUACUGUGAGAAAAUUAGAGUGUUCAAAGCAGGCGUUUCGCUCGUAUACGUUAGCAUGGAAUAAUAGAAUAGGACGAGGGUUCUAUUUUGUUGGUUCUAGGACCGUCGUAAUGAUUAAUAGGGAUGGUCGGGGGCAUCAGUAUUCAGUAGUAAGAGGUGAAAUUCUUGGAUUUACUGAAGACUAACUGCUGCGAAAGCGUUUGCCAAGGACAUCUUCAUUAAUCAAGAACGAAAGUUAGGGGAUCGAAGACGCUUAGAUACCGUCGUAGUCUUAACCGUAAACUAUGCCGACUCUGAAUCGGCCCCUUUAUAUUCAUGGGGGGUCGGCGCAGUGUGAGAAAUCAAAGUUUUUAGGUUCUGGGGGGAGUAUGGUCGCAAGGCUGAAACUUAAAGGAAUUGACGGAAGGGCACCACCAGGAGUGGAGCCUGCGGCUUAAUUUGACUCAACACGGGGAAACUCACCAGGUCCAGACUUCUGUAGGAUUGACGCAUUGGCGAUGCUUCAUGAUUAGAAGGGUGGUGGUGCAUGGCCGUUCUUAGUUCGUGACGUAAGUUGUCUGCUUUAUUGCGAUAACGAGCGAGACCUCGGCCGCUAGUUGCCGGAGCCCACAUUUUGUGGGUUUCCGGCUCUUAGCGGGACUACCGGAGACAAUUCGGGGGAGGUUCGAGGCAAUAACAGGUCUGUGAUGCCCUUAGACGUUCUGGGCCGCACGCGCGCUACACUGACGCAGCCAGCGAGUUUAAACCUUUUCCGAAAGGAAUGGGUAAUCUUGUUAAACUGCGUCGUGCUGGGGAUAGAGCUUUGCAAUUUUUGCUCUUGAACGAGGAAUUCCUAGUAAGCGCAAGUCAUCAACUUGCGUUGAUUACGUCCCUGCCCUUUGUACACACCGCCCGUCGUUACUACCGAUUGAAUGGCUUAGUGAGAUCCUAGGAGAGUUUGUGCAUGAGGGCAACCUCUAGCGCGAGUUCAAAUUCGAUCAAACUUGGUCAUUUAGAGGAAGUACAAGUCGUAACAAGGUUUCCGUAGGUGAACCUGCGGAAGG